GUCAGGAUGGCCGAGUGGUCUAAGGCGCCAGAUUAAGGUUCUGGUCCGAAAGGGCGUGGGUUCAAAUCCCACUUCUAACA
rnacentral:tRNA from 1 species